rnacentral:rRNA from 1 species
CCUACGGGAGGCAGCAGUGGGGAAUAUUGGACAAUGGGCGAAAGCCUGAUCCAGCAAUGCCGCGUGAGUGAUGAAGGCCUUCGGGUCGUAAAGCUCUUUUACCAGGGAUGAUAAUGACAGUACCUGGAGAAUAAGCUCCGGCUAACUCCGUGCCAGCAGCCGCGGUAAUACGGAGGGAGCUAGCGUUGUUCGGAAUUACUGGGCGUAAAGAGUACGUAGGCGGUUAUUCAAGUCAGAGGUGAAAGCCCGGGGCUCAACCCCGGAACUGCCUUUGAAACUAGAUAACUAGAGUCUUGGAGAGGUUAGUAGAAUUCCGAGUGUAGAGGUGAAAUUCGUAGAUAUUCGGAAGAACACCAGUGGCGAAGGCGACUAACUGGACAAGUACUGACGCUGAGGUACGAAAGCGUGGGGAGCAAACAGGAUUAGAUACCCUGGUAGUCCACGCCGUAAACGAUGAUAACUAGUUGUUCGGUCACUUGGUGACUGAGUGACGCAGCUAACGCAUUAAGUUAUCCGCCUGGGGAGUACGGUCGCAAGAUUAAAACUCAAAUGAAUUGACGG